rnacentral:rRNA from 1 species
AUUGAACGCUGGCGGCAGGCUUAACACAUGCAAGUCGAGCGGAGAUGAGGUGCUUGCACCUUAUCUUAGCGGCGGACGGGUGAGUAAUGCUUAGGAAUCUGCCUAUUAGUGGGGGACAACAUUCCGAAAGGAAUGCUAAUACCGCAUACGUCCUACGGGAGAAAGCAGGGGAUCUUCGGACCUUGCGCUAAUAGAUGAGCCUAAGUCGGAUUAGCUAGUUGGUGGGGUAAAGGCCUACCAAGGCGACGAUCUGUAGCGGGUCUGAGAGGAUGAUCCGCCACGCUAGGACUGAGACACGGCCCAGACUCCUACGGGAGGCAGCAGUGGGAAUAUUGGACAAUGGGGGGAACCCUGAUCCAGCCAUGCCGCGUGUGUGAAGAAGGCCUUAUGGUUGUAAAGCACUUUAAGCGAGGAGGAGGCUACUGAGACUAAUACUCUUGGAUAGUGGACGUUACUCGCAGAAUAAGCACCGGCUAACUCUGUGCCAGCCGCCGCCGUAACAC